rnacentral:rRNA from 1 species
UAGUAACGGCGAGUGAAGCGGGAUGAGCUCAAGCUUAAAAUCUCCGUACAAGUUUUGUACGGCGAAUUGUAGUCUAUAGAGGCGUGGUCAGUGUGGACACUUGGGGUAAGUUCCUUGGAAGAGGACAGCAUGGAGGGUGAUACUCCCGUUCAUCCCUGAGUGGCUCGUGCGUACGACCCGUUUUCUUUGAGUCGCGUUGUUUGGGAAUGCAGCGCAAAGUAGGUGGUAAAUUCCAUCUAAAGCUAAAUAUUGGUGCGAGACCGAUAGCAUACAAGUACCGUGAGGGAAAGAUGAAAAGAACUUUGAAAAGAGAGUUAAAGAGUACCUGAAACUGCUGAAAGGGAACCGAAUCGUUUCCAGUGUCUAUAAUCCGUGACAUAUUUCAUUGGCGAGUGUGUGCGUGCGUGUGCUAUGGCAGCGGCUUUUUUGGCUGCGCUUGGCGUGUGUGCUGUGUGUGCUUGCUGGUGCCCUGUGCUGCGGUGGGACGUCAAUGUCAGUUCGUAUGCUGCGGGAAAUGGCUGCCGAGGAGGUAGGGCUUACGCUUGCGUUUGUCUGUUAUAUCUUGGUGGACGAGUAGUCGCGGUUGGGACUGAGGUGCCUACAACGUGCUUUUGAGUGGGCUUGUGUCUCCGUGUGCACCGUGUGCGGAUAGCUUGCUAUGUGUGUGUGGUUGUGUGUGGAUUGAUGCGAGCU